rnacentral:rRNA from 1 species
GACGAACGCUGGCGGCGUGCUUAACACAUGCAAGUCGAACGGAAAGUGCUCUUCGGAGUGACUCGAGUGGCGAACGGGUGAGUAACACGUGGGUGAUCUGCCCUGCACUUUGGGAUAAGCCUGGGAAACUGGGUCUAAUACCGAAUAGGACCAUGGCAUUCAUGUGCUGUGGUGGAAAGCUUUUGCGGUGUGGGAUGGGCCCGCGGCCUAUCAGCUUGUUGGUGGGGUAAUGGCCUGCCAAGGCGACGACGGGUAGCCGGCCUGAGAGGGUGGCCGGCCACACUGGGACUGAGAUACGGCCCAGACUCCUACGGGAGGCAGCAGUGGGGAAUAUUGCACAAUGGGCGCAAGCCUGAUGCAGCGACGCCGCGUGAGGGAUGACGGCCUUCGGGUUGUAAACCUCUUUCAGUAGGGACGAAGCGCAAGUGACGGUACCUAUAGAAGAAGGACCGGCCAACUACGUGCCAGCAGCCGCCGUAACAC